rnacentral:rRNA from 1 species
UGGGGAAUUUUGGACAAUGGGCGCAAGCCUGAUCCAGCUAUUCCGCGUGUGGGAUGAAGGCCCUCGGGUUGUAAACCACUUUUGUAGAGAACGAAAAGACACCUUCGAAUAAAGGGUGUUGCUGACGGUACUCUAAGAAUAAGCACCGGCUAACUACGUGCCAGCAGCCGCGGUAAUACGUAGGGUGCGAGCGUUAAUCGGAAUUACUGGGCGUAAAGGGUGCGCAGGCGGUUGAGUAAGACAGAUGUGAAAUCCCCGAGCUUAACUCGGGAAUGGCAUAUGUGACUGCUCGACUAGAGUGUGUCAGAGGGAGGUGGAAUUCCACGUGUAGCAGUGAAAUGCGUAGAUAUGUGGAAGAACACCGAUGGCGAAGGCAGCCUCCUGGGACAUAACUGACGCUCAGGCACGAAAGCGUGGGGGAGCAAACAGGAUUAGAUACC